GAUGAACGCUGGCGGCGUGCCUAAUACAUGCAAGUCGAGCGAACGGACGAGAAGCUUGCUUCUCUGAUGUUAGCGGCGGACGGGUGAGUAACACGUGGAUAACCUACCUAUAAGACUGGGAUAACUUCGGGAAACCGGAGCUAAUACCGGAUAAUAUUUUGAACCGCAUGGUUCAAAAGUGAAAGACGGUCUUGCUGUCACUUAUAGAUGGAUCCGCGCUGCAUUAGCUAGUUGGUAAGGUAACGGCUUACCAAGGCAACGAUGCAUAGCCGACCUGAGAGGGUGAUCGGCCACACUGGAACUGAGACACGGUCCAGACUCCUACGGGAGGCAGCAGUAGGGAAUCUUCCGCAAUGGGCGAAAGCCUGACGGAGCAACGCCGCGUGAGUGAUGAAGGUCUUCGGAUCGUAAAACUCUGUUAUUAGGGAAGAACAUAUGUGUAAGUAACUGUGCACAUCUUGACGGUACCUAAUCAGAAAGCCACGGCUAACUACGUGCCAGCAGCCGCGGUAAUACAUAGGUGGCAAGCGUUAUCCGGAAUUAUUGGGCGUAAAGCGCGCGUAGGCGGUUUUUUAAGUCUGAUGUGAAAGCCCACGGCUCAACCGUGGAGGGUCAUUGGAAACUGGAAAACUUGAGUGCAGAAGAGGAAAGUGGAAUUCCAUGUGUAGCGGUGAAAUGCGCAGAGAUAUGGAGGAACACCAGUGGCGAAGGCGACUUUCUGGUCUGUAACUGACGCUGAUGUGCGAAAGCGUGGGGAUCAAACAGGAUUAGAUACCCUGGUAGUCCACGCCGUAAACGAUGAGUGCUAAGUGUUAGGGGGUUUCCGCCCCUUAGUGCUGCAGCUAACGCAUUAAGCACUCCGCCUGGGGAGUACGACCGCAAGGUUGAAACUCAAAGGAAUUGACGGGGACCCGCACAAGCGGUGGAGCAUGUGGUUUAAUUCGAAGCAACGCGAAGAACCUUACCAAAUCUUGACAUCCUUUGACAACUCUAGAGAUAGAGCUUUCCCCUUCGGGGGACAAAGUGACAGGUGGUGCAUGGUUGUCGUCAGCUCGUGUCGUGAGAUGUUGGGUUAAGUCCCGCAACGAGCGCAACCCUUAAGCUUAGUUGCCAUCAUUAAGUUGGGCACUCUAAGUUGACUGCCGGUGACAAACCGGAGGAAGGUGGGGAUGACGUCAAAUCAUCAUGCCCCUUAUGAUUUGGGCUACACACGUGCUACAAUGGACAAUACAAAGGGCAGCGAAACCGCGAGGUCAAGCAAAUCCCAUAAAGUUGUUCUCAGUUCGGAUUGUAGUCUGCAACUCGACUACAUGAAGCUGGAAUCGCUAGUAAUCGUAGAUCAGCAUGCUACGGUGAAUACGUUCCCGGGUCU
rnacentral:rRNA from 1 species